AAUGUCUGGGAAACUGCCCGAUGGAGGGGGAUAACUACUGGAAACGGUAGCUAAUACCGCAUAACGUCUUCGGACCAAAGAGGGGGACCUUCGGGCCUCUUGCCAUCGGAUGUGCCCAGAUGGGAUUAGCUAGUAGGUGGGGUAACGGCUCACCUAGGCGACGAUCCCUAGCUGGCCUGAGAGGAUGACCAGCCACACUGGAACUGAGACACGGUCCAGACUCCUACGGGAGGCAGCAGUGGGGAAUAUUGCACAAUGGGCGCAAGCCUGAUGCAGCCAUGCCGCGUGUAUGAAGAAGGCCUUCGGGUUGUAAAUACCUUUUCAGCGGGGAGGAAGGGAGUGAGGUUAAUAACCUCAUUCAUUGACGUUACCCGCAGAAGAAGCACCGGCUAACUCCGUGCCAGCAGCCGCGGUAAUACGGAGGGUGCAAGCGUUAAUCGGAAUUACUGGGCGUAAAGCGCACGCAGGCGGUCUGUCAAGUCGGAUGUGAAAUCCCCGGGCUCAACCUGGGAACUGCAUUCGAAACUGGCAGGCUUGAGUCUCGUAGAGGGGGGUAGAAUUCCAGGUGUAGCGGUGAAAUGCGUAGAGAUCUGGAGGAAUACCGGUGGCGAAGCGGCCCCCUGGACGAAGACUGACGCUCAGGUGCGAAAGCGUGGGGAGCAAACAGGAUUAGAUACUCUGGUAGUCCACGCCGUAAACG
rnacentral:rRNA from 1 species